rnacentral:rRNA from 1 species
AUGUUGGAGAAGAAGAACGGCGAGUUCAGCGGCGACAAGGUGAUCGCCGAGUUCGAGCGGCUGACACGGGACGCCGACAUUGUGCAGCGGGAGACGCUGCGGCGGAUCCUUGUCGAGAACGGCGCCACCGAGUACCUGCAGGGGCUGGGCCUCGCCGGCCGCACCGACCCCGCCAGCUUCAAGGAAUGCGUGCCGCUCGCCACGCACGCCGACCUCGAGCCCUACAUUGAGCGCAUCGUCGACGGCGACGCCACGCCCAUCCUCACCGGCAAGCCCGUCACCUCCAUCUCCCUAAGCUCCGGCACGACGCAGGGGAAGCGCAAGUACCUGCUGUUCAACGAGGAGCUCGUCAAGUCCACGAUGCAGAUAUACCGAACCUCCUACGCCUUCAGGAACAGGGAGUUCCCCGUGGAGGACGGCAAGGCGCUGCAGUUCAUCUACAGCAGCCGGCAGUUCACGACCAAGGGCGGGCUGACGGCCACCACGGCGACCACCAACGUGUACCGCAGCGAGGAGUUCAAGGCGACGAUGCGCGUGGUGCAGUCGCAGUGCUGCAGCCCCGACGAGGUGAUCUUCGGCGCCGACUUCGCGCAGUCGCUCUACUGCCACCUCCUCUGCGGCCUGCUCGCCGCCGGCGAGGUGCAGAUGGUAUCGGCCACCUUCGCGCACAGCGUCGUGCUCGCCUUCCAGACCUUCGAGCGGGUGUGGGAGGAGCUCUGCGCCGACAUCCGCCGAGGCGCCCUGUCGCCGACCCGCGUCACCUCGCCGGCCGUCCGGCAGGCCGUGUCGGCGCUACUCGCCGGGCCGAACCCCGAGCUCGCCGACGCCGUGGCGCGCAAGUGCGCCGGCCUGAGCAACUGGUACGGGGUGAUCCCGGCGCUGUGGCCCAACGCCAAGUACGUGUACGGCAUUAUGACGGGGUCCAUGGAGCACUACGUGAAGAAGCUCCGGCACUACGCGGGCGGGCUGCCGCUGGUCGCCGCCGAGUACGGUGCGUCCGAGGGGUGGAUCGGCGCCAACCUGGAGCCCGCGAUGCCGCCCGAGUCCGCCACCUUCACCGUGCUCCCCGACAUCGGCUACUUCGAGUUCAUCCCCCUCAGGCCCGGCUGCACGGCCGCCCCCGGCCCCGACGCGUGCUACGGCGAGUCGGAGCCCGUCGGCCUGACGGACGUCGUCGUGGGCGAGCACUACGAGGUCGUCAUGACCACAUUCGCAGGGUUGUACCGGUACAGGCUGGGCGACGUGGUGCGGGUGGCCGGGUUCCACAACGCGACGCCCAAGCUCAAGUUCGUGUGCCGCCGGAACCUGGCGCUGUCCAUCAACAUCGACAAGAACAGCGAGCAGGACCUGCAGCUGGCCGUGGACGCCGCCGCCGCCAAGUUCCUCGCCGCCGAGAAGCUGGAGGUGGUGGACUACACCAGCCACGCGGACAUGUCGUCGGACCCGGGCCACUACGUGGUCUUCGUCGAGCUCAACGCCGCCGCGGCCGACGCCAGCGCCGACGCGCUGCAGGGGUGCUGCGACGAGCUGGACCGCUCCUUCGCGGACCCCGGCUACGUCGGGUCGCGGCGGUCCUGCGCCAUCGGCCCGCUGGAGCUGCGGGUGCUGAAGCGGGGGACCUUCCACCGGGUGCUCCGCCACUACCUCUCCCUGGGCGCCCCCGUGAGCCAGUUCAAGUCGCCGCGCUGCGUCGCCCGCUCCAACGCCGGCGUCCUCCAGAUCCUCGCCGCAUGCACCGCCAAGGCCUUCUUCAGCGCCGCCUACGACUGA